AUGUCGAAUACACAACGAGGAUGCCAACACCCAACUGACCCAUACAUGCGCAUCCUUGCCGUUUCAGGACUUAGGAUGGAGCACCAAACCACAUCACACCAAAACUUGGACAUCCAAAUCAGCUGUCAGCAGCAUGAACUUCUGAACUACCCUAUGUACACAAUCGAGAGAACUAGUCUAUCAAGCCUUGCUAGAAUCAGUAAUCAGAUCAGGAGCAGAAGAGCAGAGGUGGAUCUGCUAGUCGUGGUAGCAGAGGAGCGCGACGACACAUCGGCGGAUGAUGUAGAACCUGGCCUUGUGCUCCCUCAGCAUCCUGCUCAGCCCUCCGGAUCCUGA
rnacentral:rRNA from 1 species